CACACCUCUAAAAGCCAAGGUAGUAUGCAAUUAUGACUAACCUCAUUUACGUCAGGUCAAAGUGCAGCUAAUGAUGGGGGGAUGAUGGGUUACACCCUAAAUAAAGAUACGAAAUAUGGAGUCAAAAACCUUAUAAAGGUGGACUUGGAUGUAACUAUAAUCCAAAAUUAUAGUGAAAUUGAAUCUAAGGCAUGCACACAUCGCCCGUCACUCUCGCCCAAAGGCGAGAUAAGUCGUAACAAAGUAGGUGUAACGGAAGUUGUACCUGU
rnacentral:rRNA from 1 species